GCGGGCGUAGUUCAAUGGUAGAACGAGAGCUUCCCAAGCUCUAUACGAGGGUUCGAUUCUUCGCCCGCUCCA
rnacentral:tRNA from 1 species